UGGCUCUCGCAACGAUGAAGAACGCAGCGAAAUGCGAUACGUAUCAUGAAUUGCAGAACUCUGAAUGAUAAAUGUUUGAACGCACAUUGCGCCAGCCCUUUGGUUGGCAUGUCUGUCUGAGAAUCUUCAAGUUUCUCUCUUGGAAAGCAAUUUGCUUUUUUUUUGAGGCCCUUGACAGUCCUACAAUGCGCUAGGCUGUUGAAAUUUAAACGUAUUGUCUCGCAGCCAUGAGGGGUUGGGGGUGAUUUUGACCAAAUCAAUUUUACCCGCUUGCCCUUAAUUCAGGCUAAGCAUACUUUGGUCUCAGAUCAGACAGGAGGACCCGCUGA
rnacentral:misc_RNA from 1 species